GCAAAAAAUAGGAAAAGCUCCAUUCGCGCAAGACCUUCUCCCAAACAUUGUCGUUUUCCAAUUGAGAACGGGAUCACUUCGUCGACUUUUUUCA
ensembl:ncRNA K05D4.11 ncRNA